rnacentral:rRNA from 1 species
AGUGAAUGCUGGCGGUAGGCCUAACACAUGCGAGUCGAACGGCAGCACAGUAAGAGCUUGCUCUUACGGGUGGCGAGUGGCGGACGGGUGAGGAAUACAUCGGAAUCUACUUUUUCGUGGGGGAUAACGUAGGGAAACUUACGCUAAUACCGCAUACGACCUACGGGUGAAAGCAGGGGAUCUUCGGACCUUGCGCGAUUGAAUGAGCCGAUGUCGGAUUAGCUAGUUGGCGGGGUAAAGGCCCACCAAGGCGACGAUCCGUAGCUGGUCUGAGAGGAUGAUCAGCCACACUGGAACUGAGACACGGUCCAGACUCCUACGGGAGGCAGCAGUGGGGAAUAUUGGACAAUGGGCGCAAGCCUGAUCCAGCCAUACCGCGUGGGUGAAGAAGGCCUUCGGGUUGUAAAGCCCUUUUGUUGGGAAAGAGAAGCAGCAGGUUAAUACCCCGCUGUUCGGACGGUACCCAAAGAAUAAGCACCGGCUAACUUCGU